UGUCUCCUACGGGGCGCAGCAGUGAGGAAUAUUGGUCAAUGGUCGGGAGACUGAACCAGCCACGCCGCGUGAGGGAUGAAGGUACAGAGUAUCGUAAACCUCUUUUGUCAGGGAACAAAGGCGGGGACGCGUCCCCGGAUGAGUGUACCUGAAGAAAAAGCCCCGGCUAACUACGUGCCAGCAGCCGCGGUAAUACGGAGGAUGCGAGCGUUAUCCGGAUUUAUUGGGUUUAAAGGGUGCGCAGGCGGUCUGUUAAGUCAGCGG
rnacentral:rRNA from 1 species